rnacentral:rRNA from 1 species
CGUUCUCAGUUCGGAUCGGAGUCUGCAACCCGACUCCGUGAAGCUGGAUUCGCUAGUAAUCGCGCAUCAGCCAUGGCGCGGUGAAUACGUCCCCGGGCCUUGUACACACCGCCCGUCAAGCCAUGGGAGCCGGGGGUGCUUGAAGUGCGUCGCCGCAAGGCGCGCCCUAGAGCAAAACCGGUGACUGGGGCUAAGUCGUAACAAGGUAAC